CUUAAUUAUAACUGUGUCCAAUGUUUGACUGUCCGUCUUAUAUGAAUUUUUCUUAUAAUUAGUAUUUAGUAACAAUAAUCUACUAUUUUGUACUAAUUAUGAAAUACGCACACUUGUAUUUUUAAUUCUUUUCAUAUUUUUUCAAAUAAGACGGACGGUCAAACGUUGGACACGGAAAUCCAGGGUUUGUCUUUUG
rfam:Oryza meridionalis cultivar OR44 (W2112) chromosome 2, whole genome shotgun sequence.